rnacentral:rRNA from 1 species
GCGACAGCUUGAAUCAGUUAAAGUAAAAAGAGCCGGCAAAUCUGGUGCCAGCCGCCGCGGUUACACCACGUGACUCAAACUGACCUCUUCCGGCGUAAAGCGUGAUUAAAGCCCNUCUUACCACUGCAAUUAAACCAGAACUGAGCUGUGACACGCCUAUUCCUGGGAACCCCAAAACCGAAAGUCAUUGCAANCCCCUAAACUUGAACUCACGACAGCUAGAAAACAAACUGGGAUUAGAUACCCCACUAUGCCUAGCCGUAAANCCUUUAUUUACCUCCACACCGCCAGGGAACUACGAGCAAAGCUUAAAACCCAAAGGACUUGACGGUACCCCAUAUCCACCUAGAGGAGCCUGUCCUAUAAUCGAUAAUCCCCGCUUAACCUCACCAUUUUUAGCAUAUCAGCCUGUAUACCUCCGUCGUCAGCUUACCACAUGAGCGCCAAUUAGUGAGCUAAAUGCCCCUACGCCAACACGUCAGGUCAAGGUGCAGCAUAUAAAAUGGGAAGAGAU